rnacentral:rRNA from 1 species
UACAGAGGUCUCAAGCGUUGUUCGGAUUCAUUGGGCGUAAAGGGUGCGUAGGUGGCGCGCUAAGUCAGGUGUGAAAUUUCGGAGCUUAACUCCGAAACUGCAUUUGAUACUGGCGUGCUUGAGGACUGGAGAGGAGAUUGGAAUUCACGGUGUAGCAGUGAAAUGCGUAGAUAUCGUGAGGAAGACCGGUGGCGAAGGCGGAUCUCUGGACAGUUCCUGGACGCUGAC